ensembl:lncRNA
AAAUUCUACAAGACAAAUGACCCGGUGUAUUCAUUCAGGUCCCAGCAGGAAACAGAUGGCAUACUCAAAUUAGGUAACUUGAAGAGAGCUUAAUCAAAGGACUAUUUACAAAGAUUUCAGCAGGAUGUUGGGAGGGAAACUAGGAGGGAACAAGGGGUAGCAUGGGACCCAGAGCUAAUCACAGCUCCAGAGACAUUACCACUCUGUGGAUGAAGGGACAGGAAAGGGAGCAGAUACUGUAAAAGGGGUACAUGGAGAGAGCAAGAGAGAGGGAAGGGAAGGAGGCAGAGAGAACAAACUAUGUGAAGACGGUCUCAUGACAAGGACUGUGACCUUCAGUUGAAAGACACAACAACAUAGCCAAGAAAUAUUGUACACUGAUGGUCAGAAUAAUGGUUACACUCUAUUUGGAAUAAAAUAGAAAAGGGAGGAAGAAAGAUUUAAUUCUUACAAAAAUAAAUUUAAGAAUCUCUUAUUUUAGCUGCCAGUAUUUCAGCAUGGAACUGACAGGUGAGGUAUAUUUUACAUCCAGGACUGACGCAAUGGAUUCCAACCCUUGUUGCUGUGUUCACUCCUGGCCCUCAGUCAGUUCUCCACUUAGUAGGCAGUGUCUUUGAAAACUACAAAUCUGGUCUGGGGGUUAAACUGCUUGAAACAUUUCAGUUGCCCUUCGAUAAAGAUUUUCAGCCUAAUUCAUAGGGCAUUCCAUGAUCUAGCAUUUUCUUGCCCCUCUAGUCCUCCUGCCCUUGAAUGGCUUUACCCCAGCCACACUGGCCACCCUCAGAAUGCCAUCAGCUUUCCUCCUAGCAGACAUUCAUGGAUGUGGUUCCUAUGGUCUGUGAGGUGUUUAGGGCUCAGCUGCAGGAAUCAGAAUUCGCUCCAGUUAGCUUAAGCAGAAGGGGACUUAUUAAGGAUAUUGCACAGCUCUGGAAGCAGUGUCAGGCCUGGAAAAGAAGACUAAAGAGAACCUCGAGAGCCGCGGCGGCUUGGCCACCGGAGGAAUUUUUGCCUCUUCUGCCAUCAGGGCGCUGGCAGCCAAACUGGGAAGCUGCCCCUGCAGCUGCUGUCUUCCAGGAUUCGGAAACCACUCAAAUUGGCAAACAGCCACAAUCUAGAAGCUAAAUGACCAGGAAGUCACCACGGUCAAGAGGUGCCUCAGGAAAGGCAGAUCUCCUGUUUAUUCACCAGUAAAAGUCACAGAAGGAGGGAGGCGAAGCCACUUGAUCACUUCCGUCUUCUGAAUCCUGAACGAGUGCCUCUGACUGAUGGAGCGAAUUCACGUCCAGAACCUGUCCUACAUGGAAACCUGGGAAUGUGUUUUUUAGCUUUCCAGUCUACACACGCUGGAAGGAGGUUGGAGGUGAUAUUGAGUGCCAAAAGACCACGUCUGCCGUAGCCGGGAACACUCUGUUCUUCCCCUGGCCGAGUAUUACUCAUCCUUCAGGAGUGGAUACAAUGUUAAGUUUGAAGUAUGGCAGGCCUGCAUACCUUCUGGAAAUGUCCAUCACAUUUUCUUCAGCAGCCUUUAAUGGAACCAAAUUCUCCUGAGAGAAUGACACUUCCCAUUCACUGACUCCAAUAAGGAGCAUCAUUCCCAGGUACUUGACUUUGAGGAGGCUGGAGAUGAAUGAGAUGCUCAGAAGCCUAAAAGAUGCAGGAAUGGUCUUUGUUCAGAGGUUGCCCACUGCCCAGUUCUCAGAACAGACUGAAUCUCAGAGAAGGAACAUUUCCCUUACAGCUCUUGGAUGGAUGUGUUUUGAAAACAGACUUACUUCUCCGAGGAUUUGACCUGACAACUUGUUCGCCUGUGAGGGUUGGAUCUGUGUGGAAGCCUAGCCCUAAUACUGAAAAGUUUUACUUUUCUGAAGAAAGGGACUGAAAGGCAGCUACAUGUUUGGCACAGUAAUGCUAAGGCUCUGGCACAAAAUCAGUCUGUCAGAAGCUCCUUUCCUCUGGAUAGAUGGACCAGUGACACUGGAUGGACUAAAGUCUUGUCUCAAAUGAAUGUAGAGCCCACUUCAGGAUUUCCAGCCCCUCUGCCUCUGGCUCCAAAGAACUGGCUUUACCAUUGAAGUUGUUAACAGUGAGGUCAGUGACGGGGGAUCAAAGCCCAGGGGAGAAACUGGGGCUGGUCAAGGGGGAGCCACCUGCCACAGAGCUUGGUUUUAACAUCUGUUGUCUAGGGUCACACUUCUCCAAAAGAUACACUACUGUGGUCAAGAUCAAGGUCACAUGGAAAAGAGGACUUUAAAGACAGCAAGUGAGCAUGGGUUGAUCUCAAGAUGAACUGGAACGGAAGAAAUCGAAAUUAGAAACCAAAUGUCCAUAUUUCAGAGAAAAGAACUUUACCAUUGAUCAGUUGCCCUGGGCAGUAAGAAACAGAUCGGGCACAAACUGGCUUAAGCUGGAAGCAAACGAAUUAGUUCACGUAGAAGGUGUCAACAGCAGGGUGGGCUUCAGGGUGGGUGGAUUCAGAGGCUUGAGGGCGUCAUUCUGUUCCUCGGUUCCAUUCUGUCUCUCCUCGCUGUCCUCCAUAGCACCGCCUCAUGCUAAGUCUGGUUCCCUUGUGUUCGAAUGGUGGCUGCCAAUGGCAGUCGGGACACGUGUUUUCUUUCCCACCCAGGGAGGGAGAAGAAGAGGCUAGAUACCCAUGACAGAUUCUUCCCUGGCGUCCCCAGGAGCCUCUCCUCAUGACUCAGGGGCCUCCCAGAGAGGAGAUGGUGGUCUCAGGCUUGCGAAGACCCAUCUGCUGGCGCGGAGUGGAUAUAGCCUCUAGGAUCACACGAAGAGGUUUCAGCUGUGCUGGGGCUUCCCCACUUUCAUGUUCUUUGAGUGUCAACUAAUGGGGCUGUUCUGUUUGUCUAUUGCUAUACAACAAAUGACCCCAAACUUAGUGGCUUGAAGAUACAGUCAUUUUAUUAUAUCUCCCAAUUUACGGGUCGUGAAUUCAGGCAGGACCCAGCUGAGAGAUGCUUCAGCAUCACAUGGCUUGGGCUGGGGUCACUCAGCGGUAUUUGGCUGGCAGCCAGGCUGGUCCGAGGGUCCUAGGAUGUCAUCACUCACAUGAUUGGCACCCUGGCGAUACUGGGGGCUGGGCUCAGGUGGGCGCCUCUCCCUCGUUGUGUGGGCCCUCUCCAUGUGGUCUCUCCAGCAGAGGAGCUGGACUUCUCACGUGGUGGCUCAGUUUGCUACACAGCUGCAAGUGACAGAGAAAUUGUGAAAUACAAGAUGAUUCCCAAUGAUUUGACAUGUCAUCUCCACUGUCCAUAAUAAACAAAAAGAAACGGGCAUUCAAUUUUAAUAAUAGAUGCUUUGUUUUUCUCCAUGCCCCCUAAAUAGAUGUGUCCAUUUUAAAAAAUAUCUGUUUGAAGAGAUGCUGCUUUGCCAUACUGUCCAGGGUGCCGGCGUCGCUGGCUCACCCUGUAUGGUAUGACUGUGGGGUUAUCUUUCCUUCCCAUCACCCCUGCUUGGUCUAGGGCAUCAUCACGUCUCCCAUGCUAUCCCAGUAGCCUCCAGCUGACCCUCUGGCCACCAGUCUCACCCCCUUCCACUCAUCCUCUACAUGUUUUCCAGUGUGAUUUUUCUGAAACAAAUCUGCUCAGACCAUUCCCUUGUCUAAAGUCACUAUGGGGUUCUCUUUUACCAACCAGAUAAAAUUC